GCUGCAGCACCCAGGGAUGAGCGUGAUGUGGCCUGGCCCCGGGGGUGGCUGCCAGGUCAGGAGGCCAUGGCACUGUGUUCAGCCAACAGGGAGCCCAGGGGCUGCACCCAAGGCUGGCUCCCUAUCUCGAAACACACUAUGUUGUCAGGGAAAGAGGCUCGGAGGGCCUUGAAGGUGUCGAAUUGAACCCACAUUUCCCACAGAACUUUGAAACAUCUGUCAACAGACAUGUGACCAUGCCAACCAAGGUGCAGAGGUUUUCACAAUGCAAUACAAAGCUCCGUUACAAACAUGCAACCUAGUAUUUGGAAACUGACACCUCUCUUAACACAGGAAGAAAUUCUCAUGAAAAAGAGAGUGUGAUCCCGAAAAAGGAGACAGAUCAACAAAGGAUAUACAAUGAUACGCAUGGAAGACUCCAAAGACAAGAACUUAGGUACAAUCUAUGAAGUAAAAUCAGUUGUUUAUGCAGUAUCAUUGCCAUGAAUCAACACUUAUUUAUUUAUUAUGACCGCACUCGUGACACAUCCACAGCGACCUGAGCCACUGCAGUCAGAUGUAACCCACUUCACCACAGCAGGAACUACACACAUUUUAAACAUAUUCAAAUAUUUCGUGUUUGGCAAUAAAGUCCUUUUAAUUUCGUU
rnacentral:lncRNA from 1 species